rnacentral:rRNA from 1 species
AAAAGCACUUUGAAAAGAGAGUGCAAGAGAACGUGAAAUCGAUAUAAUGGAAGCGAAUGAAGUCGACGUAUCUAACACGUAUUCAGUUGUUUGGUCGGUCGAUCUCAUCGAAUUUUGGCAUUCCGUAAGGUUGUCGAUUCGAGUGUUGUCGAUUGGUUGAAUAAUGCAUUUGCGUGUAGAGUGCGACGGGUCAGUUGGUGUUGUUGGCGGAUGUUUAAACAAGAGGGUGUUGCUUUCGGGCGGCAUAACCUUGUUUUUUCGGAUGCCGAUUAAUGCUGUCUGAUUGUAGUUUGAAACACUGGUGAUGUUAAACGGUGUUGCCGUAUUGUUGUUGGCGUCUCAUUAACUGGCAAUGCGAUGUAUCAUAAUGGGAGGUCAAAUUCAGUGCGCAAUACGACUGUUGUUUCACUCGUUGUAUAGUCGGUCACUCAUUCGACCCGUCUUGAAACACGGACCAAGGAGUUUAUAGUACGCGCAAGUCAUUGAGUUAUCACGAAACUCAAAGGCGUAAUGAAAGUGAGAUUGCUUUUAAAUUGUGAAAUGUGAUCGUUGGGGUUGUUUUUCGACAAUGGCCCAACGUGCAGCAUUGCCCUGUGCUAAGGACUUGUCCUGGUGCGGAGGUUAAGCGUGUGCAAUGAGACCCGAAAGAUGGUGAACUAUGCCUGAACAGGAUGAAGCCAGAGGAAACUCUGGUGGAAGUCCGAAACGGUUCUGACGUGCAAAUCGAUCGUCUGAUUUUGGUAUAGGAGCGAAAGACUAAUCGAACUAUC